rnacentral:lncRNA from 1 species
AAAAAACUAAAAAAUGAUUUGGAUGCUGAUCAAACGCACGUUCCUCUUAAAAGGGGUGCUUUAAAAUCAAAACGAGGCGUUCAACUUAGUUUUGGACUAUGUAACGACGCCGUUCCAUUGGGAAAAAAAAACUAAAAAAGAUACGCGCAGUUGUCUUCUUCCUCGCGCAGAUGAGCUUCGCCGACCCACAAAGCGGCGCUUCACAACGCCUCCCUACUCCUUGCCGUCGACGCGCACGCUAAGCGUGCAGACGGCUAAACAAGCAGACACCUAAGGCGCUUUGCUACCGCCUCGCUCCG